GGACCAGACAUCUCCAUGGAGGCAAAGAAACCACAGAGCACACGCAAGGUGGCUUUUGUAAAUGCCACCCAGUGGUGCCUUCUUCAGUUCUGUGUCCAGAUCUCCCCCCUUGGUUUCUGUCCUCGCGGAUUCCUACCAUCUACAGUUAAUCCCAUUUUACAGAUAAGAAAACAGAGAUACAGAAAGUAAAUUUCCUUCUUCCACAUGGCUGAUUCAGUGGAAAAUAAAGACUCAAACCAAGG